rnacentral:rRNA from 1 species
UACCUCAGUAACGGCGAGUGAAGCGGUAACAGCUCAAAUUUGAAAUCUGGGUCUUUCAGGCUCCGAGUUGUAAUUUGUAGAAGAUGCUUUGGGUGCGGCCCCGGUCUAAGUUCCUUGGAACAGGACGUCAUAGAGGGUGAGAAUCCCGUAUGUGAUCGGUGGCUUGCGCCCGUGUAAAGCUCUUUCGACGAGUCGGGUUGUUUGGGAAUGCAGCUCUAAAUGGGUGGUAAAUUUCAUCUAAAGCUAAAUAUUGGCCAGAGACCGAUAGCGCACAAGUAGAGUGAUCGAAAGAUGAAAAGGACUUUGGAAAGAGAGUUAAACAGUACGUGAAAUUGUUGAAAGGGAAGCGCUUGCAACCAGACUUGCGCGGGGUUGAUCAUCCGGGGUUCUCCCCGGUGCACUCGGCCUCGCUCAGGCCAGCAUCGGUUUCGGUGGUUGGAUAAAGGCCUUGGGAAUGUGACUUCUUUCGGGGAGUGUUAUAGCCCUCGGUGCAAUGCAGCCUACCGGGACCGAGGACCGCGCUUCGGCUAGGAUGCUGGCGUAAUGGUUGUAAGCGACCCGUCUUGAAACACGGACCAAGGAGUCUAACAUCUAUGCGAGUGUUUGGGUGUCAAACCCAUACGCGUAAUGAAAGUGAACGGAGGUGAGAACCCUUAAGGGUGCAUCAUCGACCGAUCCUGAUGUCUUCGGAUGGAUUUGAGUAAGAGCAUAGCUGUUGGGACCCGAAAGAUGGUGAACUAUGCCUGAAUAGGGUGAAGCCAGAGGAAACUCUGGUGGAGGCUCGCAGCGGUUCUGACGUGCAAAUCGAUCGUCAAAUUUGGGCAUAGGGGCGAAAGACUAA